AGAAAGUCCUGGCAUUUACUCAGAUGUUUAUUGCAGUUUGUUAACAAGAAGGGCGGGAAAAUUCAUGACAUUAGCCAAGCUUUAAAUGACAAAAUCGUGAAAAUGGUGGGUAUGUUAAAAAGCGGUGAACUCGGUUUAUGUCCGUUCAAAAUAACCCUUACUUCGCAUUUGUUCCAAAAAUCACGCAACCGUAAAAUUGUCGACAAUUGUCUUAAAAGUCAUUUUCAACCAACUAUACAAAAUUUUAAUAUAAAUAAAAUAAAAAUUAUAAGAUUUUUUGAAAACAAAAGUGUUGCGUUUUCAUUGGCACUCAGUAUA
rnacentral:lncRNA from 1 species